CGAUGAGCUCUUUCGGCGUAUUCCUAUCGGCCACUGGGAUAUGUGAUUUCAGAUUCAGAGUGUGUUUUGCGCAGUCGGCCCCUUGAAAGGGACUUUUCCCACUUUCCAACACAACAGCGGUCAGAUCUUGUGACGAGCAGUUGAGGAUGUUGACGACUCCCCGUGGAAUACAGCCCUCCUCGGACCACUGGUACCGGGAGAGAAGGGACUCCAGUUCCCCCAGCAGCUCAGGGGCAGCAUCCUUAUAGGCUCCCAACGGAUCGACCACUUUCUGGUCUGGGAUCCUAUCACAAACGUUUGAUUCACCGUUGACCGUGUGGUCUUUAUUCUUCCCAAAUGACCCACGUGACUGUGUAUGGGCAUUGUUCUCGUCGUCGCCUUCUUUAGUAAAACAAAGUUUGUUCUUUGAAGAGCUAGAAGAAAAAUGAAUUCCAGAAAUGAUAAUUGUAGUCAAUACAUGAGUGAUACAAACCAAUUUAAAAAAGGAUAAGACAAUUGGUCACAACAAGGUCAUUGCUCGUUGUAGUUCACCUAUGCACUGUUUCUGCCCAGCGGGCGCCUUCGUCGGCCAAACUAAAAUGCAGAACGCGCGUCCCCGAUGAUCGAUCCCGCGCUGUUGGCUGGAGAUAAGAUACAUUUAUAGACCUUAUUCAAAAGUGGACCUACUAUAAGCACACAACUUACUUCAUCUUUGAAUUGCAAGGGACUGACCUACCUGGUCAAAGAAGUACAGCGGUCCGGUUUUAAACUCUCUCCGUGCGCCCAGAGAAGACAUGAUUACCCCAAAUGCAUCCAGUCCUUCAAAUACCUGGACCCGAGUCCGGACUUCGACAAUAUUGUAGACCUACCCAUAUGGUUAUGAAACAGAAACGAGGAAUUCUAUGUGUGGCAAUUUCACUUUGACCUGAAACGUCCAUCAGUUGUAUCGGUGUUGCUUGGAUACAGUGCGUCCCGCCGCUUUCCAAACGCCCCGAGAAACGGCUUGUUUAGAAACAUGAACACCUACCCUGCACACUCUACUGCGCGGCCCAGGUGCGCCUCGCGGUCCGGUAACCGGAGACCGUGCUGGGAGGUAAUUGGAAGGGAAAUGUGCCUCAGCACGGAGAAAGUGGUCAUCCUAGCGUGCAUUGCAGCAUCUGCAGGUCAUCUGCAGAGGACGUGAGAACCGCAAAGCGGUGCUAAAAUUGAUUAUUUGCAUUUGUAACUGCAUGCAUACACGAGACAUGUUUCGUAAUAUAUUUCAUUCAUUCGUUGGGUUGUCAUUGUGUUUUGUGUCGUGUUUUAAAGAAAAUACAGAAUAACUGAUGUCCUAUUCGGGGCCAGUUGUUGCGUUGUGAUAGUUGUAGACCAUCAUUGGCUGGGACCCCUCCAGUAGCCUACUGGCUACACUUUCUGUUGUGACCACUGGAGGCUCCGAGCAGCCGGCGUCUGCAUCACUUCAGCUGUCGGUCGCAGAGGAUGGCGGAGCUACUGUCCCAAGUGGAGCCUGAACUUCUCAACGGGGUCGUCCCGACCGAGGAGAGGGGAGACGGCGACGCGUCGGAGUCAGUGAAGAAAAGGAGGAGGAAAAAGAAGAAAAGCAAGACACUCGCUCCAG
ensembl:lncRNA